AGUAGAAAAGUUGUUUACAGCAGGAAAAAGAUAUGUUUUGUUUACUACUUUGGGCAAUUUUAUUUAACCGACCAAUAUUAUUCUUUAUAAAUACGAUGCAUGUUGAACGUAUAAAUAUUAGGAUAUAUAAAUACACAUGACCACGUUUGGGGUUGCACCAACAAUGAGGUAUAUCAACCCCAGUGGCGAACGCAGUGGAGGGCUAAAGGGUUGAAGCCCCCCCCAUUAACCGUUUCUAUGUAUAUAUAUAUGUAGCUUGGUGC